rnacentral:rRNA from 1 species
GACGAACGCUGGCGGCGUGCUUAACACAUGCAAGUCGAACGGAAAGGCCCUGCUUUUGCUGGUUGCUCGAUUGGCGAACGGGUGAGUAACACGUGAGUAACCCGCCCUUGACUUUCGGAUAACUUCAGGAAACUGGGGCUAAUACCGGAUAUGAGCUCCUGCUGCAUGUGGGGCGUUGGAGAGUUUCGGCGUUUGGGUAGGUAGUCGCGGCUUAUCCGCUUGUUGGUGGGGUAGUGGCUUACCAAGGCUUCGACGGGUAGCCGGCCUGAGCGGGUUAACGGACACAUCGGGACUGAGCUACGGCCAGGACUACGAAGGGAGGCAGAAGGGGCGAAUGUCGCACAAUGGGAGGCAGCCUGAGGGAGGAACGCCGCGUGAGGGAUAAAGGCUUUCGGGUUGGAAACAGAUAUGGCCAGGGACGAAGGGUGAGUGACGGUAAUGGGUAAAGAAGCACCGGCUAAAUACGUG